rnacentral:rRNA from 1 species
UACGGGGGGGGCAAGCGUUGUUCGGAAUUACUGGGCGUAAAGGGCUCGUAGGCGGCCAACUAAGUCAUACGUGAAAUCCCUCGGCUCAACCUGGGAACUGCAUCUGUGACUGCAUUGCUGGAGUGCGGCAGAGGGGGAUGGAAUUCCGCGUGUAGCAGUGAAAUGCGUAGAUAUGCGGAGGAACACCGAUGGCGAAGGCAAUCCCCUGGGCCUGCACUGACGCUCAUGCACGAAAGCGUGGGGAGCAAACAGG